AUUAAUACUGGUGACACACAUAACACAUGCAAGUUGAACGAAUAUAAUGCGUUUAUAUUAGUGGCAAACGGGUGCGUAAAUAAUAAAAAAAUUAGUUUAUGAUUUUAUAUAAAAUAUAAGUAGAUUGACUCGUUGUAAAAUAAUUUUAUUUAGAAUUAGGUUGUUAAUUUGUAUAAAAAUAAAUUAAGCCAAUGAUUUUUCGUUGUUCUGGGAGGACGGACAACCACACCGGAACUGAGACAAGGUCCGGGUUCUUAUGAGAAGCAGCAGUGGGGAGUAUUGGACAAUGGGCGAAAGCUUGAUCCAGUGAUGUUACGUUGAUGAUGAAGGCUAUUAGGUUGUAAAGUUAUAAGUUUUGCUACAAUAUUGACAUUGGCAAAAGACAAGUUCCGGCUAAUCUCGU
rnacentral:rRNA from 1 species